rnacentral:tRNA from 1 species
GCCGGGAUGGCGGAAUGGUAGACGCGAUGGUCUCAAAAACCAUUGUCCGCAAGGGCGUGCGGGUUCGAGUCCCGCUCUCGGCACC